rnacentral:rRNA from 1 species
AACGAACGCUGGCGGCAGGCCUAACACAUGCAAGUCGAGCGAACCCUUCGGGGUUAGCGGCGGACGGGUUAGUAACGCGUGGGAAUAUACCCUUUGGUACGGAAUAGCCUCGGGAAACUGAGAGUAAUACCGUAUGUGCCCUUCGGGGGAAAGAUUUAUCGCCAAAGGAUUAGCCCGCGUUGGAUUAGAUAGUUGGUGGGGUAAUGGCCUACCAAGUCUACGAUCCAUAGCUGGUUUGAGAGGAUGAUCAGCAACACUGGGACUGAGACACGGCCCAGACUCCUACGGGAGGCAGCAGUGGGGAAUCUUAGACAAUGGGCGCAAGCCUGAUCUAGCCAUGCCGCGUGGACGAUGAAGGCCUUAGGGUUGUAAAGUCCUUUCAGAUGGGAAGAUAAUGACGGUACCAUCAGAAGAAGCCCCCGGCUAACUCCGUGCCAGCAGCCGCGGUAAAGU